GUGUUUGCUUUGGCAGCACAGGUACUAAAAUUGGAACCAUACAGAGAAGAUUAGCAUGGCCCCUGUGCAAAGCUGACAUGUAAGUUAUGAAACAUUUCAUAUUUAU
rfam:Gorilla gorilla gorilla genomic chromosome, chr11, whole genome shotgun sequence